AUGGUUCUGAAUGUUCAAGUUGCAAGAAAACUCAUCAAUGGCGAAGAGCAGUCGAAGAAAAAUGACUUACCUACCAGAAGUGUACUCCGGAGGUUCUUCAGAUCUAUCCAGAUAGUGAGAAAAUCAGAGGAUUUCACGUAUUUCAUCCUUACUCUUAUUCUCGUUCUCUUUCUUCAAUUUCACGAGGUUAUGUAUUGA